rnacentral:piRNA from 1 species
CAGGUUCAUCUUUCCGUGUGCUUUCCUUGC